GGCCUCUUGGCGAAACAGGUAGACGCACGGCACUUAAAAUGCCGAGCCCAAAAGGCGUCCGGGUUCGAGUCCCGGAGAGGCCACCA
rnacentral:tRNA from 3 species